AGGCACUGUUCGUGGCCUGUUAGUCUGGCCGUGGCUGACGGGCUCCACUCCAGUGCCAUAGCAGCUCCAGGGGCACAUGACUGACUGACUCGUGGCUCUUAGUUUCAGGUCCUGGGGACAUAC
rnacentral:snoRNA from 1 species